rnacentral:rRNA from 1 species
UAGGGAAUCUUCGGCAAUGGACGAAAGUCUGACCGAGCAACGCCGCGUGAGUGAAGAAGGUUUUCGGAUCGUAAAACUCUGUUGUUAGAGAAGAACAAGGACGUUAGUAACUGAACGUCCCCUGACGGUAUCUAACCAGAAAGCCACGGCUAACUACGUGCCAGCAGCCGCGGUAAUACGUAGGUGGCAAGCGUUGUCCGGAUUUAUUGGGCGUAAAGCGAGCGCAGGCGGUUUCUUAAGUCAGAUGUGAAAGCCCCCGGCUCAACCGGGGAGGGUCAUUGGAAACGGGGAGACGUGAGUGCAGAAGAGGAGAGUGGAAUUCCAUGUGUAGCGGUGAAAUGCGUAGAUAUAUGGAGGAACACCAGUGGCGAAGGCGGCUCUCUGGUCUGUAACUGACGCUGAGGCUCGAAAGCGUGGGGAGCAAACAGG